rnacentral:misc_RNA from 1 species
UUGAUUCAUUUUUUGUUUGUGAGACUCAGAGAGUAUGCCACUGUUCAAAGCAAGAGUUUGGGUCCUCCGGCGGGCGCCUGGUUCCGGGCCGCGAGAUGGGCGCCGGGGCGGUCCCGCCGAGGCAACGUUCAGGUAUGUUCACAGGGGUUUGGGAGUUGAUAACUCGGUAAUGAUCCCUCCGCUGGUUCACCAACGGAGA